UCCAAAAGUAUUUGACCUAGAGUCACCAAAGUUUACAGGAAUGUUGGUCAGCAUGUGCAGUUGUGCACCUGGGGUUUCGCGUCCGGAUUCAUUCAGUAUUGUAGGAGUUAUGGCCCCUGACCUAGGAAAAAUAUUUUUUGCAUCUUUUUUAAAUAGCAACAUAUUGUUUUCCAAAAGUUGAUCUGUGUCCUUUGUCAUGUAGUGGGGCAUCUGUGUCCCAUGGACACAUUUCUAGUUUGUUGUUGUUGUUGUUGUUUCUUUUUUUUUUGCACAGUGUCAUUGUCCUAAAGGUAAACCAAACUGUCGCCAUGAACAUACGUGGGUAGAUAAUGGGUUUUACGAUUAUGCAUUAAAUAUCGCAAUAAAAAGAUUUUCUCCACUAAUAAAUCUAAACUGCCAGAACAGAUGUUGUUCUUAGACAUAUGGGCAUUAUACAGAAAUCUUUAAAUGUAAAACAGUCAUGCAGUCUUUCGCGCUAACAACACUUUCUCUAAUUAUUGUAUUUAUGCUGUUGUCUUCCAUUUGUGUUUCUGGAAAAAAGGAAAAGACAAAAACAUAUUUAACAAAAUACACCGAACAAAAGAGGAAAUAUUGUCAGUUUCAAGAAUAUGAAAUUCUGCCGGGAUCAAAAUGGUCAACGCCCGACGGAUGUGUAGAGUGCCAAUGUACAAAAAGGUUUCUGGAUUGCAAACUAAUUACGAAGAAGAAGAAGAAACAGAGGAAUCUCGGCUGUUUCUAACAAGAAACAUUUUGUUGACAAAACACUGCAUAAUUCAUGAUUUAUUUUAACUAUUCAUAUUUAAUGUCAGCUCUAUUAAAAGAAAGUGUAUAAAAGUUU